GAUGAAGAACGUAGCGAAAUGCGAUAAGUAAUGCGAAUUGCAGAAUUCAGUGAGUCAUCGAAUCUUUGAACGCACAUUGCGCCCCCUGGUAUUCCGGGGGGCAUGCCUGUUCGAGCGUCAUUACAACCCUCAAGCUCUGCUUGGUAUUGGGCCCCGCCAGUUCUGGCGGGCCCUAAAGUCAGUGGCGGUGCCUUCCGGCUCCGAGCGUAGUAAUUCUUCUCGCUCUGGAGACCCGGUUGUGUGCUUGCCAACAACCCCCAAUUUUUUAAGGUUGACCUCGGAUCAGGUAGGGAUACCCGCUGAACUUAAGCAUAUCAAUAAGCGGAGGA
rnacentral:misc_RNA from 1 species